rnacentral:rRNA from 1 species
AUCGGGAAGCUACGGGUGUAACCGUAAAGUCGAAUAACCGUAACGGAAGGUCGCCUACGGGUAAAACUAGUAACUGGGGCU